rnacentral:rRNA from 1 species
GGCUUAGAGUUUGAUCAUGGCUCAGGAUAAACGCUGGCGGCGCACAUAAGACAUGCAAGUCGAACGGAAGUCGUUAUAAAAAGGAUUGAAGAUUUAUCUGAUGAUAUUUUAUAACAAUGGCUUUAGUGGCGGACUGGUGUGUAACGCGUGAGCAACCUGCCUAUUAGAGGGGAAUAACAGUGAGAAAUCAUUGCUAAUACCGCAUAUGCCAUGAACAUCACAUGAUGAAAAUGGGAAAGGAGCAAUCCGCUAAUAGAUGGGCUCGCGUCUGAUUAGAUAGUUGGUGGGGUAACGGCCUACCAAGUCGACGAUCAGUAGCCGGACUGAGAGGUUGAACGGCCACAUUGGGACUGAGAUACGGCCCAGACUCCUACGGGAGGCAGCAGUCGGGAAUAUUGCGCAAUGGAGGAAACUCUGACGCAGUGACGCCGCGUAUAGGAAGAAGGUUUUCGGAUUGUAAACUAUUGUCGUUAGGGAAGAUAAAAGACAGUACCUAAGGAGGAAGCUCCGGCUAACUACGUGCCAGCAGCCGCGGUAAUACGUAGGGAGCAAGCGUUAUCCGGAUUUAUUGGGUGUAAAGGGUGCGUAGACGGGAUAUUAAGUUAGUUGUGAAAUCCCUCGGCUUAACUGAGGAACUGCAACUAAAACUGGUAUUCUUGAGUGUUGGAGAGGAAAGUGGAAUUCCUAGUGUAGCGGUGAAAUGCGUAGAUAUUAGGAGGAACACCGGUGGCGAAGGCGACUUUCUGGACAAUAACUGACGUUGAGGCACGAAAGUGUGGGGAGCAAACAGGAUUAGAUACCCUGGUAGUCCACACCGUAAACGAUGGAUACUAGGUGUAGGGGAUGAUUUCAUCUUCUGUGCCGUCGCAAAC